GAUGAACGCUAGCGGCAGGCCUAACACAUGCAAGUCGAGGGGGAGGUUACUUUCGGGUAACUGAGACCGGCGUACGGGUGCGUAACGCGUAUACAAUCUGCCUUUCACUGGGGGAUAGCCCGAAGAAAUUUGGAUUAAUACCCCAUAGUAUAGUAAUACGGCAUCGUGAUGCUAUUAAAGCUUAGGUGGUGAAAGAUGAGUAUGCGUUCUAUUAGCUAGUUGGAGAGGUAACGGCUCCCCAAGGCGAUGAUAGAUAGGGAUUCUGAGAGGGAUGUCCCCCACACUGGUACUGAGAUACGGACCAGACUCCUACGGGAGGCAGCAGUGAGGAAUAUUGGACAAUGGUCGGAAGACUGAUCCAGCCAUGCCGCGUGCAGGAUGAAGGUCUUAUGGAUUGUAAACUGCUUUUGUAAGGGAAGAAUAAGGGCUACGCGUAGUUUGAUGACGGUACCUUACGAAUAAGCAUCGGCUAACUCCGUG
rnacentral:rRNA from 1 species